AACUGAAUUUGGCAUCAACAACAUGACUUUGAAUACCUUAUUCUAUCUAGACCAAUACAUUAAACAAAUGGUUUUGGCAUAAACAUGCCUCCUGAGACUACUGCUUAGACUACUUAUGUUUUGAUUAAAAAGACACUAAAAUACAAUUUUCAUUGACUUAAACUAGACUAAAUUCUGACUAAAAUAAGACUAAAAUGCUCAGACUUUUAGUCGACUAAAACUUGACUAGACUAAAAAGAGUAUGAACGUGACUAAAACUAAUAAAAACUAAAAUGACAGCUUGACACAAAGACUAGACUAAAACUAAAAUUAAAACA